rnacentral:rRNA from 1 species
UAGUCCGGAUAUACUGGGUGUAAAGGGCGUGCAGCCGGGAAUGCAAGUCAGAUGUGAAAUCCAUGGGCUUAACCCAUGAACUGCAUUUGAAACUGUAUUUCUUGAGUACUGGAGAGGCAAUCGGAAUUCCUAGUGUAGCGGUGAAAUGCGUAGAUAUUAGGAGGAACACCAGUGGCGAAGGCGGAUUGCUGGACAGCAACUGACGGUGAGGCGCGAAAGUGUGGGGAGCAAACAGGAUUAGAUACCCUGGUAGUCCACACUGUAAACGAUGAAUACUAGGUGUGCGGGGACUGACCCCCUGCGUGCCGCAGUUAACACAAUAAGUAUUCCACCUGGGGAGUACGAUCGCAAGGUUGAAACUCAAAGGAAUUGACGGGGGCCCGCACAAGCGGUGGA